rnacentral:rRNA from 1 species
AGAGUUUGAUCCUGGCUCAGGAUGAACGCUAGCGGCAGGCCUAAUACAUGCAAGUCGAACGGUGAUAGCAAUAUCAUAGUGGCGCACGGGUGCGUAACACGUAUGCAACCUACCUAUUAUUGGGGGAUAGCCUUUGGAAACGGAGAUUAAUACCGCAUAAUACGAUUGACUGGCAUCGGUUGAUUGUUAAAGCUUCGGCGAUAAUAGAUGGGCAUGCGUCCAAUUAGAUAGUUGGUUAGGUAACGGCUGACCAAGACGAUGAUUGGUAGGGGAUCUGAGAGGAUAAUCCCCCACACUGGCACUGAGAUACGGGCCAGACUCCUACGGGAGGCAGCAGUAGGGAAUAUUGGGCAAUGGGCGGAAGCCUGACCCAUCCAUGCCGCGUGCAGGAAGAAGGCGUUAUGCGUUGUAAACUGCUUUUUUAUAGGAAGAAGGAUCCCUUGCGAGGGAAGGUGACGGUACUAUAAGAAUAAGCACCGGCUAACUCCGUGCCAGCAGCCGCGGUAAUACGGAGGGUGCAAGCGUUGUCCGGAUUUAUUGGGUUUAAAGGGUGCGUAG